GAAGUUGGGUUUUAUAUAUAACCCGGGAUGUUGUGAAACGCAACUUGUGGGUCUCCCAAAUCUGUAUAUUGGUACCAAAGAAAACUCAAAGUCAGGAUUCAAAUAAAAUAUAGAUAUUUCAGUUUAUUAAACGAGGAUAGUCCCAAGACUCUGGGAGUGUAAAUAUAACAUAAAUUAAUUCCCAACUUGAUGGGAUUAAAAUACAAAUAUUACAAAUAGCCAAAACCCUUAAUAUAGCUCUAAAUAUCCCACUUAACCGUGCGGGAGUCCCGUUCCUAUACAAUCUUUCCCCUGUAGCCUAUAUACUUAAAUAUAAUAAAUUGAUUAAUAAAAGAAGGUUAUUGCAUCAGCUCCCACUGCUAAAUUAUCGAGCAUUUACCCAACGGGAAAUUUCCACGGUCAUUUCCAGUGUGUGGAUGUUGUCCAGAUGUGGACUCGACCGUCUGAUCUGCCGUGGCAGAUCAAACCAACUGCCGUGCAAACAGCUGAGCUCGUUAUUUAAGGCAUCGGGCUCGGCCGUUAUGACGUCAUACCGUAUGCUAUACAAACCCGCCGGGGAAAGCAGUAAACAAGAUGGGAGAACUGAAACACGCGAAUAACGGCGUUUUGACGAUAUGUGUUAUCGAAAGGCAAUAGAGGGAGUUGUGAUUGAGGAAUUAAUGAAACGAAAGGGUUUAAAUGAUGCAUGGAAGUAUAAAUAAGACCAAAUGAAUCGUCGAGGAAACUCGGGAUAAUUUCUCGCCGAUAAUUUCGACAUUGAUUGGUAAUUGUAAACAAAGAACACAUGAAUAAAAUAUCUUAGGACACAGCGAAUGAUCAUCAUACGAUGUAUUAAACGGAAAUUCACUUCUUGAUAUGGUGUAUGUGGACUUUUGUUGCAAUAGGGAAUGUGUAUUGGGAUGUGAGAAAUAAAUUUCGUAACACAGCUCCCUCCCUUGAAAAGCAUUCGUCCUCGAAUGGAAUCAACCAUCUGAUCUCAAGUGAAUUUCUUACCUAACGUAGAAAAGGAAUAUUCCAACUCCUGAAAGAUCCAUCCUCACCUGUUCCUGAUGACAGGCACUUCCUGAUGGUACUUCACAAAUACUUCAGUCCUGAUGCUGUGGGAGCUGAUGAUAAAUCGGGAGAACAAGAAUUUCUGAAGUCACUUCCCCCUUGAGAUGCAUCUUCACUUAUCCCAACUGAUCUUGGAUUGAAGAUUAUCUCACCGGAAUCUCCCAAUGGACUAUUCUCCCGGGACAUUUUUACACAAAAAUUUAUAGAAAAAUUACUACAAAAAAAAUGUUAUUUUGAGUUUAUGUUCUUUGUCCAAUCAGAUAUAUUGGGAAUAAAAAAAUAUAAUCCCACUUCUGACA